rnacentral:tRNA from 1 species
GGCUCGAGUGGCGCGCGAUGGGCGACGACGGCCACGUCAUGAGCGGGGCGGUGCGGUUUGCGGUGAACGCGGCCCGGUGAUCCUCGAACUGCUUGGGCCU